CCUGGGGGAGGCAGCAGGGGGGAAUAUUCAACAAUGGAAAAAAGCAAGAAGCAGCAACGCCGCAAAAAAGAAGAAGUUGGANAUAAAAAACCUCCUCGGGACGGACGAUAAUGACGUACCANGGANA
rnacentral:rRNA from 1 species